rnacentral:rRNA from 1 species
GACGAACGCUGGCGGCGUGCUUAACACAUGCAAGUCGAACGGAAAGGCCUGCUUUCCCUUGUGGAUUGCGGGUACUCGCGUGGCGAACGGGUGAGUAACACGUGAGUUAUCUGCUCCCAACUUGGGUAUAAGCCUGGGAAACUGGGUCUAAUUACCGAUAGGACUGCAGGGUGGUGCCGGUGGUGGAAAACGAUUUUCUAGUGGUCGGGGAUGAGCUGGCGGCCUAUCAGCUUGUUGGUGGGGAAGUGGCCUACCAAGGCGGGGACGGGUAGCCGGCCUGGGAUGGUGGACCGGCGCAUGUGGCCGGCGAUACGGCCCAUGCGCCUACGGGCGGCAGCAGUGGGGAAGCUUGCGCGAGGGGCGGAAGCCUGAUGCAGCAACGCCGCGUGGGGGAUGACGGCCUUCGGGUGGUAACCUCCUUUCGACCGCGAGGAAGCCACCUGGAUGGAAGGGUGGUGACGGUAGUGGGAGAAGAAGCACCGGCUAACUACGUG